GAUUAACGCUGGCGGCGUGCAUAACACAUGCAAGUCGAACGAUGAAACUUUACUGACUUCUUCUGAAUGAUUUAAAGCGGUGUAGUUGCGAACGGGUGAGUAACGCGUGAGUAACCUGCCUUACACAAGGGGAUAGCCUCAGGAAACGGAGAAUAAUACCCUAUGAAACCAGACAAUCGCAUGAUAAUCUGGUCAACAUGUUUAGUGGUGUAAGAUGGACUUGCGUCUGAUUAGCUAGUUGGUGAGAUAAAAGCUCACCAAGGCAACGAUCAGUAGCCGGCGUGAGAGAGUGUACGGCCGCAUUGAGACUGGGACAAGGCCCAGACUCCUGCGAGAGGCAGCAGAGGGGAAUUUUGCACAGUGGGGGAAACGCUGAUGCAGCGAGGCCGCGUGAUUUAGAAGGCCUUCGGGUUGUAAAAAUCUUUUGUAUAGGAAGAAAAUGACAGUACUAUACGAAUAAGGUCCGGCUAAUUACGUG
rnacentral:rRNA from 1 species